UUUAAGUACUACACCAUUUAAAAGAGAUAUAUUCUUAAGCUAAAAAGGUUUUAUUGAAAUAGCUACAAAGUCAGUUAAUAAGCGCAAAUAGUAUGUGCAAAAGUUUCGUUUAUCAAAUAAUUAAAUUUGUGUUUUGGGUGUUGUGAACUCAUUUCGUUCGGAUUUUUCUGUGAAGGGACAAGACGGAAACGAAGUUGAUCACCAACAUGAUCAGUCUGAUCUCAAAGGAAAGUCUCUUAUCGGUGCUGCUAGUUUGCAAUUCAAUAGUAUUAGGAAACCACUCUUUGGCUGCGAAUACAUCAGAGCAUUUCAACCUAGACAACUUCCGGCCUGGGCUUUCGUCACCUACAGCAAGAUGUUCCAGCCUUUACUGCCAGUCGGACAGUGGCAGUCCUCCAAAGUGCACGAAGGACAUCAAUUGAUGUGACAUUUGUGUUUGUGACACAACUUCCCUACCGGAAGUACACGCCAUAAUUGGAUGAUGCAUAAUGUGUAUUGUAUUAAUUUAUACAAAAACAUGUUUUUUCCGAUUCUAUGUUUUCCAUUGUCUUAGAUAUGACAUCACUGACAUAUCAAUCCACAAAUUAUUAAGUAUUGGUUUCUUUUAAACAUUAAAUCAUAAGAUUGUGA